AAAGAAAGCGUAAUAGCUCACUGGUCGAGUCGGCCUGCGCGGAAGAUGUAACGGGGCUAAACCAUGCACCGAAGCUGCGGCAGCGACGCUUAUGCGUUGUUGGGUAGGGGAGCGUUCUGUAAGCCUGUGAAGGUGGCCUGUGAGGGUUGCUGGAGGUAUCAGAAGUGCGAAUGCUGACAUAAGUAACGAUAAAGCGGGUGAAAAGCACGCGCGCCGGAAGACCAA
rnacentral:rRNA from 1 species